AACGAACGCUGGCGGCGUGCCUAACACAUGCAAGUCGAGCGAGAAAGUCCCUUCGGGGGCGAGUAGAGCGGCGGACGGGUGAGUAAUACAUAGGUAAUCUACCUUCGCGUUUGGGAUAACUCUGCGAAAGCGGAGCUAAUACCGGAUAAGACCACGUGGCCCAGGUCGCGCGGUAAAAGGUGGCUUGUAUUUAUACUGGCUAUCACUUGAUGAUGAGCCUAUGGCCUAUCAGCUUGUUGGCGGGGUAAAAGCCCACCAAGGCUAUGACGGGUAGCAGGUCUGAGAGGACGACCCGCCACACUGGGACUGAGCCACGGCCCAGACUCCUACGGGAGGCAGCAGUGGGGAAUAUUGGGCAAUGGGCGAAAGCCUGACCCAGCGACGCCGCGUGGGUGAUGAAGGCCUUCGGGUUGUAAAGCCCUGUCAUGCGGAAAGAAUAGCCUCGCGACUAAUACUCGCGGGGUUUGACGGUACCGCAGGAGGAAGCACCGGCUAACUCCGUGCCAGCAGCCGCCGUAAGAC
rnacentral:rRNA from 1 species